rnacentral:rRNA from 1 species
AGCGAACGCUGGCGGCAGGCUUAACACAUGCAAGUCGAACGCGUGCAGCAAUGCACGAGUGGCGCACGGGUGAGUAACGAGUGGAUAUCUGCCUUUUGGUUCGGAAUAACCCCGGGAAACUGGGGCUAAUACCGGAUGGUUCCUACGGGAUAAAGAUUUAUCGCCAAAAGAUGAGUCCGCGUCCGAUUAGCUAGUUGGUGAGGUAAUGGCUCACCAAGGCGACGAUCGGUAGCUGGUCUGAGAGGACGAUCAGCCACACUGGGACUGAGACACGGCCCAGACUCCUACGGGAGGCAGCAGUGGGGAAUAUUGGACAAUGGGGGCAACCCUGAUCCAGCCAUGCCGCGUGAGUGAUGAAGGCCUUCGGGUUGUAAAGCUCUUUUGGCGGGGACGAUGAUGACGGUACCCGCAGAAUAAGCCCCGGCUAACUUCGUG